rnacentral:rRNA from 1 species
UCAUGGCAAGCGCCCGUCCGGCUUGAGCUUGAAUCCUGGCUCAGGACGAACGCUGGCGGCGUGCCUAAUACAUGCAAGUCGAGCGAAUGGAGGGGAGCUUGCUCCCUGAAGUUAGCGGCGGACGGGUGAGUAACACGUGGGCAACCUGCCCUGUAGACUGGGAUAACAUCGAGAAAUCGGUGCUAAUACCGGAUAAUCAAAGGAAUCACAUGGUUCUUUUGUAAAAGAUGGCUUCGGCUAUCACUAUAGGAUGGGCCCGCGGUGCAUUAGCUAGUUGGUGGGGUAGAGGCUCACCAAGGCAACGAUGCAUAGCCGACCUGAGAGGGUGAUCGGCCACACUGGGACUGAGACACGGCCCAGACUCCUACGGGAGGCAGCAGUAGGGAAUCUUCCGCAAUGGACGAAAGUCUGACGGAGCAACGCCGCGUGAGUGAUGAAGGUUUUCGGAUCGUAAAGCUCUGUUGUUAGGGAAGAACAAGUACCGUUCGAAUAGGGCGGUACCUUGACGGUACCUAACCAGAAAGCCACGGCUAACUACGUGCCAGCAGCUCG